CCUACGGGCGGCUGCAGUGGGGAAUUUUGCGCAAUGGGCGAAAGCCUGACGCAGCAACGCCGCGUGGGUGAUGAAGGUCUUCGGAUCGUAAAACCCUGUCGUUGGGGACGAAGGUGGGGGCGUUAAUAGCGUUUCUGCUUGACGGUACCUGGAGAGGAAGCCCCGGCUAACUCUGUGCCAGCAGCCGCGGUAAUACAGAGGGGGCAAACGUUGUUCGGAAUUAUCGGGCGUAGUUGGCGAAGAGGCGUGUGUAAUCCCCGAGCUCAACUUGGGAACUGCAUCUGAGACUGGAAGGCUAGAGUACUGGAGAGGGUGGUGGAAUUCCUCGUGUAGCGGUGAAAUGCGUAGAGAUGAGGAGGAACACCAGUGGCGAAGGCGGCCACCUGGACAGUAACUGACGCUGAGGCGCGAAAGUGUGGGUAGCAAACAGGAUUAGAUACCCCAGUAGUC
rnacentral:rRNA from 1 species